UUCUUUAGCACUGAAAAUGUGUGUGCGUGUGCAUGCAUGUGUGCACGUACAUACAUGCGCACAUGGACUUUUACUUAUCCCUCUAUUCACUGAUGAAUGUAUAGGUCAAUUCUACAACUUGACUCUUCUGAAUAGUUCAAUAGCAAAAAAUGGCUGUAGGUAUGUUCAUAAUAGCCUGCCUUGGCUACUCUUAUAUUGCUAUGACGAGAUACCAUGAUCAAUGUAACUCUUACAAAGAAAGCAUUUAACUGGGAGCUUGUUUACAGUUUUGCAGGGUUAGUCUAUAGUCAGCAUGGCAAAAAGCAUGGCAGCAGGCAGGCAGAUUGGCAGAGAAAAUGACCCUGGGCCUGCAGUGGGCUUUUGGAAUCUCAAAGCUCAGUGUCACACCUACUCCAACAGGCCACACCUCCUAAUACUUCCCAAAUAGUUCUACUAACUGGGGACCAAACAUUGAAAUAUGUGAGUCUAUGAGGGUCAUUUCCAUUCAAACUCCCUCAUAACUCAACUUCAGCUCUUUUGGGUAUAUAUCUAGUAGUGAUAUAGCAUGAUCACAUGGGCAGUCUUGUUUUUAGUUUUGAAGGGCAUCCAUCUUUUGCUUUCUGAGAGGAUAUCACCAAUAAAACAAAACAAAAGACCCUCGUUUACUGUAUAGAAUAUCCACCAUACACAUUCUGAAGAACUUACAUUCCGAUUAGACAAAGAACUCUUAAAUUUCAAUAAAAAGACAAGCCCAUAAACUGUGUUAAGAACAAAAGAUAAUAUUCAAGUAGGCAAUAAAUGCAUGAGAAGAUGUACAGCAUCAUUAGUCACCAGGGAAAUGUGAUUUAAAUUAAAACCACCCUGAAAGGGCCACCAGCCAACCACUAGAAGGUCUAAAAUGUAAAGACCAACCAUGACCUUGUUGGAGAACAUACCAAGGACCUAGAAUCUUCAUAUGCUCCUAGUGAAAAACAAAGUUAGACAAUUUGUCAAACAGUUGAGCAUAUAUCUGCCCUUGACCCAGCAACUCUACAUCUGGAUAGAAAUGUAAAUGCCAAAAGACACAUACAUAUUCAUAGUUGCUGUAUUUGACACAAUAAUCAAACAAAAACAGAAAAAUAAAAACAACAUAAGCUCUAACCACAGAUGAAUGACUAAACAAACAUGGUGUGUUCACUCACUGAAAUUCUACUCAGAAAUACAAAUUGGUAAGCGGUUUGUGAACACAGCAUGCAUGUGGCUCAGCAUAAGUAUGCUUUGUUAAAAUAGGCCAUAUGAAAAGAAUACAGAAUAUAUGGAUCUACUUAUAAAAAAUUCUAGAAAAUGCAAAAUAAUUUAUGACAUAAUAUAAAUUAGUGUUUGCCUAGGAAUGAGGCUAUGGGGAUGUGUAAGACACACAGAGGCAGAAGACAACUUUCUAAGGUGGUGAAAAGAUUUUUAGCUGUUGUGGUGGCUUCAAGAGGAAGGUGGCUGGUGAGAGAAGUUCCAAUUUGGAGAGCUCCUGAGGCAGGUCUAAGCAUAGGACAUCUGUCUCAUGACUCUUUUUCAUCUUCUAUGACACCGUUAAUAAGUGCUUCUGCUGAAUCCAUGCACUAGAUAGUCCACCAGACAAACACAAACACAUAGAAAUGCCUUUGUGAGUCUUGCUAAAGAGAUUCCUGGUGAUGUUAGUAAUAGGCCCUUAUUUUCUGGAUGCUAUCAGGUUGAACCUAGACGCCCUUUGAAAGGGAGUUCUACAACAAUCACUCUUUAUAUUUUGGGUUCUCUAUUCUCAGCACCAUUUUUGAAUUUUUUUCCAUGUAAAGGGACUUUUAAAAAACUUCACUCGGAAAGUUAACGAAGAAUCAGAAUUCUGUCAGACAGCCUGAUGUCAGAGCUUAGCCUCUAACUGAGUUUUAGCUCUGUAAUCAUUUCUUUGACCUUGUAGGUUUUCCACCCAUGGACCCAGUGGUGUCUCCUUGGCCUCUAUCCAUAUUAUCAAUGUUGGUUUCUUGAAGCAAUGGAUGUGUAGACUUUUAUCCUCAAUCAUUUCUUUAUAUCAAGUCUGCAAUAAUAGAGUUGCCGCAAAACAACCAUCUAGAUCUUUAACCAUAGUCAUGCAAUGUAUAGCAACAGUUCCUCUGGGUCGCCUUCUUCAACAGGGAUGAUAUAUUUGAUUAAGAAGUUGUAUACAACAUUUUUGAGGAUUUGCUGAAAUGCAAACUCUAAGAUCUCAAGGAGUUGUAAAUAGAUUAGAGGCCCACGGUCAAUAUACC
rnacentral:lncRNA from 1 species